rnacentral:miRNA from 1 species
CACUUUAAGACCUGACCAGGAAUGACUGUCAAAAAUGCAGCACAUUUUCCACAUUGCAUUUUUCACAGUCACUCCUGGUCAGGUCUUAAAGUGUAUAUAUA